UACGUAGGGUGCAAGCGUUGUCCGGAAUUAUUGGGCGUAAAGAGCUCGUAGGCGGUUCGUCGCGUCGGCUGUGAAAUCCCGAGGCUCAACCUCGGGUCUGCAGUCGAUACGGGCGGACUGGAGUUCGGCAGGGGAGACUGGAAUUCCUGGUGUAGCGGUGAAAUGCGCAGAUAUCAGGAGGAACACCGGUGGCGAAGGCAGCUCGCUGGGACGGUACUGACGCUGAGCGCGAAAGCGUGGGGAGCAAACAGG
rnacentral:rRNA from 1 species